rnacentral:tRNA from 1 species
GGGUCAGUAGCUCAAUUGGAAGAGCACCGGGCUCUUAACCCGGUGGUUGUAGGUUCAAGUCCUACCUGACCCAC